rnacentral:tRNA from 1 species
GCGCCUGUAGCUCAGUCGGAUAGAGCGACGGAUUCCUAAUCCGUAGGCCGGGGGUUCGAGUCCUCCCAGGCGCACCA